UACGGAGGGGGCUAGCGUUGUUCGGAAUUACUGGGCGUAAAGCGCACGUAGGCGGCUUUGUAAGCUAGAGGUGAAAGCCCGGGGCUCAACUCCGGAACUGCCUUUAAGACUGCAUCGCUUGAACAUCGGAGAGGUAAGUGGAAUUCCGAGUGUAGAGGUGAAAUUCGUAGAUAUUCGGAAGAACACCAGUGGCGAAGGCGACUUACUGGACGAUUGUUGACGCUGAGGUGCGAAAGCGUGGGGAGCAAACAGG
rnacentral:rRNA from 1 species